CUAUACAUGCAAGUCGAGCGAACUGAUUAGAAGCUUGCUUCUAUGACGUUAGCGGCGGACGGGUGAGUAACACGUGGGCAACCUGCCUGUAAGACUGGGAUAACUUCGGGAAACCGAAGCUAAUACCGGAUAGGAUCUUCUCCUUCAUGGGAGAUGAUUGAAAGAUGGUUUCGGCUAUCACUUACAGAUGGGCCCGCGGUGCAUUAGCUAGUUGGUGAGGUAACGGCUCACCAAGGCAACGAUGCAUAGCCGACCUGAGAGGGUGAUCGGCCACACUGGGACUGAGACACGGCCCAGACUCCUACGGGAGGCAGCAGUAGGGAAUCUUCCGCAAUGGACGAAAGUCUGACGGAGCAACGCCGCGUGAGUGAUGAAGGCUUUCGGGUCGUAAAACUCUGUUGUUAGGGAAGAACAAGUACGAGAGUAACUGCUCGUACCUUGACGGUACCUAACCAGAAAGCCACGGCUAACUACGUGCCAGCAGCCGCGGUAAUACGUAGGUGGCAAGCGUUAUCCGGAAUUAUUGGGCGUAAAGCGCGCGCAGGCGGUUUCUUAAGUCUGAUGUGAAAGCCCACGGCUCAACCGUGGAGGGUCAUUGGAAACUGGGGAACUUGAGUGCAGAAGAGAAAAGCGGAAUUCCACGUGUAGCGGUGAAAUGCGUAGAGAUGUGGAGGAACACCAGUGGCGAAGGCGGCUUUUUGGUCUGUAACUGACGCUGAGGCGCGAAAGCGUG
rnacentral:rRNA from 2 species